rnacentral:rRNA from 1 species
CCUACGUGAGGCAGCAGUGAGGAAUAUUGGUCAAUGGACGAGAGUCUGAACCAGCCAAGUAGCGUGAAGGAUGACUGCCCUAUGGGUUGUAAACUUCUUUUAUAUGGGAAUAAAACGUCCCACGUGUGGGAUUAUGCAUGUACUAUAUGAAUAAGGAUCGGCUAACUCCGUGCUAGCAGCCGCGGUAAUACGGAGGAUCCGAGCGUUAUCCGGAUUUAUUGGGUUUAAAGGGAGCGUAGGUGGAUUGUUAAGUCAGUUGUGAAAGUUUGCGGCUUAACCGUAAAAUUGCAGUUGAAACUGGCAGUCUUGAGUACAGUAGAGGUGGGCGGAAUUCGUAGUGUAGCGGUGAAAUGCUUAGAUAUCACGAGGAACUCCGGUUGCGAAGGCAGUUCACUGGACUGCAACUGACACUGAGGCUCGAAAGUGUGGGUAUCAAACAGGAUUAGAUACCCGGGUAGUC